rnacentral:lncRNA from 1 species
AUGAAGAGAAUUUUCCCCUUCGUACUUCUGGCCUCAGUCCCCUACUUUCUGCUGAGCUGGGUGGGAGUAAUUGCCAUUGGACUGUCCAUGCUUUUAGCUGGUCAGCACUGGUCCAGCAAAGUCCGUGAGCCAGCACACUGCCUUCCUCCCCAUCCAUCUGGUGAGACUGACGGGCCCAUUGGACCUCCUCCCUCCCCAGGGGCUGCUCCAAGGCCAAUGGAGGGGAAGGGUGGACCCCACAGGCUCAGACCUCCUGCAAAGACAGAAUUCUGCCCACAAGGUGUCAUCCCUGGGAUGAGACUGCAACUCCUACACAUCCUCAUUCCAGCCUUGCAAAGCUGAAGCAGAGGACCCAACUAAGCCAGAUCUAGACUCCUGACCAUAGGAACUGUGAAAUCACAAAUGUGCGAUAAUUUGUCAAUAAAGGUGAGUAAUUUGUCAUGCAGCAAAAGAAAACUAAUACACCAUUCAACCUUUGGUGGGGGGCAAUUUCCUCAAGUAAAAAUCAGUUGGACAGGAGAAACUUGGUAGCUGAAAUUCUGGAAUUCUAUAUAAUUUAAAUCUUUUUCUAUAGUGGAAAUUAAAAUUUCAGCCAGGUUUGUCUACAUUAUUAGAAAUUCUGCUUUGAGAUUAUAAUCUUUAAGACGCACAGAACAACCCCCACAUGCAUCAGCACACACACACAACCACAGAGAUAACUGAUGUCAUAGCUACACUUCCCCAACACUGGGGAAGUUAGAUGUGAAAUGUAUAAAAGAAAGGUUCACAUUCCUGGAGACUUUCAAAGUACCUGGCCAAGCCAGACCUAGAGAGAGGAAACUAUUUACUAAACACUCU